UACUUCUAUGAAUGCGGCUAUGUUGGUAAAAGUAUUCCUUUUCGAAAAUCUAGAAGAACUUAGCGAAAUAGAAAGUUCAAAUUAUUUUAACUCUCUAUGGAGAGAGAUGUCCUGCGGCCAACUAAACGCAGUUUCUGAAAAAGGAAGAAGCGGCUACCUAUGCCAAAGCUGCUUUGAGUCACACUCUAAACCCGAAUUUCUUCUACAAGAAGUCUCCCUUCAUCUGACCUUUCUCAAAGAAAAAGCGCUAUGUCGCUUAUGCAAACAAAG
rnacentral:lncRNA from 1 species